GGUCGCUUGAUGUAGUUGGUUAUCAUAUCUGCUUUACAAUGUUACUACGGUAAUACGCAAACGCAGAAUGUCGUCAGUUCGAUCCUGACAGUGAUCA